UCAUAAUUUUUAAAGAGUGACUGUCAACUCUGUCCCGCAGCAGCUCCUCCUCUGACCCGCUGUUGACUCACCGACAGUCCCAUUCACUUUAAUGGGACGGCUGGUGAUGCGGCAGUGACACAACAAGGUGAGGGAUGUGGUGGCAGCAG